CUGAAGCAGUUAUCAAAAUUUCGUCCAGGUACUGGAAGAUUGUGACUCCUUGUUAUCUUAGCAGGCCUAUGGACGUAACCAGCACAUUCAAAAAAGUUCUGGGAGCAGUGCUUAUGCCGAACGGCAAGGCCCGAAACUGGAAGUGAUGGUUGUAUAUGCAAAAUCUGAGAAAUCUAUGAUGAGGACUGGCAAUCGGGAUACGGUAAAUGCGUCCCUCAAAUCUACUGAAAUCAUCCAGUCUCCCUAAUGAAUUACCGGUGUGAUAGAUCUUAAAGACUCCAUGCGAAAUUUCCUGAUUCUGAGGAAGAGAUUGAGCUGCUGCAAAUCUAGAAUUGGUCUCCCUUUCCCUCCUUGUUUUUUUUUUUUUUUUUGAUUAAUAGAAUGAAUUACAGUAAAACUUUAAGGCGUCCUUUGAAAUAUUUACUACCUGCUACUAAUUGUUAAUGGUUAUGCGUAAUAGACACAUUUGCUUACUUCAUUUGAUACCCUUCACUCGUUAACAAUGGACCUAUGGAUCUAUUGCCCUCUCUAUAUAAUUGUCCGUACGUUCCUGUGCC